rnacentral:rRNA from 1 species
AACGAACGCUGGCGGCAUGCCUAACACAUGCAAGUCGAACGAUUGCCUUCGGGUGAUAGUGGCGCACGGGUGCGUAACGCGUGGGAAUCUGCCCUUAGGUUCGGAAUAACAGCUGGAAACGGCUGCUAAUACCGGAUGAUAUCGCGAGAUCAAAGAUUUAUCGCCUGAGGAUGAGCCCGCGUUGGAUUAGGUAGUUGGUGGGGUAAAGGCCUACCAAGCCGACGAUCCAUAGCUGGUCUGAGAGGAUGAUCAGCCACACUGGGACUGAGACACGGCCCAGACUCCUACGGGAGGCAGCAGUGGGGAAUAUUGGACAAUGGGCGCAAGCCUGAUCCAGCAAUGCCGCGUGAGUGAUGAAGGCCCUAGGGUUGUAAAGCUCUUUUACCCGGGAAGAUAAUGACUGUACCGGGAGAAUAAGCCCCUGCUAACUCCGUG